rnacentral:rRNA from 1 species
AACGCGAAGAACCUUACCGAGGCUUGACAUCCCUUGUAAGCCGUAGAAAUACGGUCCCCGUAGCAAUACGGCAAGGAGACAGGUGCUGCAUGGCUGUCGUCAGCUCGUGCCGUGAGGUGUUGGGUUAAGUCCCGCAACGAGCGCAACCCUCGUCGUGUGUUGGUCCGCAAGGAUCUCUCACGCGAGACCGCCGGUGAGAAGCCGGAGGAAGGUGGGGAUGACGUCAAGUCAGCAUGGCCCUUACGUCUCGGGCUACACACGUGCUACAAUGGGUGGGACAACGAGUUCCGAGCUCGCGAGGGUAAGGCAAUCUCUUAAACCCAUCCUCAGUUCGGAUUGAAGGCUGCAACUCGCCUUCAUGAAGUCGGAAUCGCUAGUAAACGCAGAUCAGCUACGCUGCGUUGAAUACGUUCCCGGGCCUUGUACACACCGACAUA